UUUUUUUUCAGUCUAUUCCUUUUCUUAUUUUCUUGUUUUUUGUUUUAUUUCUUUCUAAAGAUGUGAAAUUCAACAAAUUAUAAAAUAUUUAAUAUUCAUAUCAAAUUAAAGAUAGUUACGAGGUUUAAUUUGAGAUAUUUGAUUUAAAAUGUAAAAGUUUUAUUUAUUUAAAGAUUAAAAUAUUAAAAAAAAUCCUCCCUCCUCUAUCAUCUUUUUUAAAAAAUUCUUUUUUUUU
rnacentral:lncRNA from 1 species